rnacentral:rRNA from 1 species
UACGUAGGGUGCGAGCGUUGUCCGGAAUUAUUGGGCGUAAAGAGCUCGUAGGCGGUUGGGUAAGUCGGGUGUGAAAACUCCAGGCUCAACUUGGAGACGCCACCCGAUACUGCUCUGACUUGAGUUCGGUAGGGGAGUGGGGAAGUUCCUGGUGUAGCGGUGAAAUGCGCAGAUAUCAGGAGGAACACCGGUGGCGAAGGCGCCACUCUGGGCCGAAACUGACGCUGAGGAGCGAAAGCGUGGGUAGCAAACAGG